CGGCGUGCUUAACACAUGCAAGUCGAACGGUGAACCAGAGCUUGCUCUGGGGAUCAGUGGCGAACGGGUGAGUGACACGUGGGCAACCUGCCCCAGACUCUGGGAUAACCUCGGGAAACCGAUGCUAAUACCGGAUACGACCACUUCGGACAUCCGACGGUGGUGGAAAGUUUUUCGGUCUGGGAUGGGCCCGCGGCCUAUCAGCUAGUUGGUGGGGUAAUGGCCUACCAAGGCGACGACGGGUAGCCGGCCUGAGAGGGCGACCGGCCACACUGGAACUGAGACACGGUCCAGACUCCUACGGGAGGCAGCAGUGGGGAAUAUUGCACAAUGGGCGAAAGCCUGAUGCAGCGACGCCGCGUGAGGGACGACGGCCUUCGGGUUGUAAACCUCUUUCAGCAGGGACGAAGCGAAAGUGACUGUACCUGCAGAAGAAGCACCGGCUAACUACGUG
rnacentral:rRNA from 1 species